UUAACAUCGCUCUUUGUUUUGUUGUCUACUUCUUUAUUUCCCUUUGGAUGGGCGCUCAUGUCGGCGUGGGGCACAGCGGCCGCCGAGGGAGCCGAGCCGGCGGAUGUGGAGGCUGCCGAGCGGCGGUGCUCGCGUGAAGGGGGAAUAUGAUGAUGCGUGGAGUGGCGUGGGGUACCAACCAUCUCCAUCGAGUGGCGGUGCUCGCGUGAAGGAUGAGUUCGUUAGCACUCUCUCGGCUGUGGCUGCACGUUCAACUGGCCAGUCAAGGAGCUCCAGCAAGCAGGACACCCAGCGAGUGUUUAGGAUCCCACACACGGCAGUUCUUGGCAUGCUCCUGGCACACCUUGGACUAUCACCGGCUCAGUAUGAACGCGUUGUUCAUGAGGACGGCAAGACCCAUGUUGUAAAUUGUCUGUAAGCGACGUGUUGCCGUAU